rnacentral:lncRNA from 1 species
CUGUGAGCUGAAGGUGUGCCUACACCCAUGCAAUUGUUGGGAGGAAAAAAAUAGGGAACAUAGAAUUCAUCACGUUCCCUCUCUCUCAGACCUUUAAGCUGAAAGGGCUGAGCCAGGAAGGCGUGCUGUCAUUUUUAUCAUUCUGCAAACCGAGUUGCUGGGGGCCCGAAAGCCUUGUGUUUAGAAGAAGCGUGCUUUCCAGGUUACCCUGAUGGGCAGGACCCACUCCCAUCACUAAGAGAACAUCAAAAGGGCAGGUGUGGGGGUGGAUAGGAAGAUCAGGAUCUCUGAAAGGACUCCACCUGGACCCAUGAUUCAUGACUCAACCAGUCCACCCAGAAGCUGACUCAGAGCAUAAGGAGCAUUUUCCACACCCCUAGGAUUUCAUCUCCAACCAAUCAGCAUUCCCCAUUCUCUAGCCCCUGUCCACCAAACUAUUCUUUAAAAACCUUAGCUCUAAGCUUUAUUUAUUUAUUUAAGUAAUACACUCCUGUCUUCCACUUAGCUGGUUCUGUAUUUAUUAAACUCUUUCUCUACUGCCAUACCGCUAUCUCAGUAAAUUAGCUCUAUCUGUGCAGUUGGCAAGAAGAACUGGUCAGGUGGUUAAAACACUACAGAUAGGCAUUGUUAAACAAAACAAUGGACUAAGCCCCUGCACUAGGCUCCAACAGAACAGACAAAAUCAAAAUGGAGUCACUCAUGCUAAAUGUCAUAUAAUCAAACUGAAACUCUAAGGAAGCUGAUAAAUCCUAAAACAGACCUUUUUUUUUCCUGAAAACAGGAAAUUUCAGUCUACCAGAGUCAACCUAGUAAGAAAGUUGCCUCUUCUUUGACCUUUAUGAGAAAGUAACCUGAAGUAACCUGACAUUAAUGAAUCAGCUUCUCUUCUACUAUUCUGUUUCCUUACUCCCACCUUACAAAGCUCACUGCUCUGCUUGCCCUAGUGAGAGAACUCAUUCUAUUGUGUAGAGUAGAGUCAGCCAUGAUUCAUGAAUUAUGAAUAAAAGACAAUUAGAUCUAUAACUAAGUUUGCUGUAAUUUUAUCUUUUGACAGCACUAUUGAUAUGGUUUGGAUGUUUGUCCCCUCCAAAUCUCAUAUUGAAAUGUAAUCCCCAGUGUUGAAGUUGGGGCCAAGUAGGAGUGGUGUGGGUCAUAGGGGCAGAUCCCUCAUGAAUGGCUUCGUGCCCUCCCUCACAGGAAUGAGUAGUUCCCACUCUACUAUUCAUGCAAGAGUUGGUUGUUUAGAAGAGGCCCGGCAUCUCUCUUGCUCUCUCUCUCUCACUAUGUGACACGCUGGCUCCCUUCCCCUUCUGCCAUGAUUAGAUGCUUCCUGAAGCCCUCGCCAGAGGCAGAUGCUGGCAUCAUGCUUCUGGUGCCAUGCUUGUACAGUCUGCAGAACAAUAAGCCAAAUAAAUCUCUUUUCUUUAGAAAUUACCCAGCCUCAGGCAUUCCUUUAUAGCAACACAAAAUGUACUAACACAACUAUUAUCGCCCCUAUUUUACAGAUGUGGAAACUGAGAAUCAGGAUAUUUUGUUGUCUUAGCCAAGGAAAAAUAGCAAGUAUUGUGGUGGAGAUUUGAGGCCAUCUGGUCCAGUGUCUUUGCUUUUUCCUACACCACUUUUUAAAGAUGAGGUUUUAAAAAAUGGCCCUAGUUCCUGAAUACUUGCUGUUGGGAGUAGCUGUGUUAGGAAGAGAGCUUUGGCCCAUGUCCUACCACAUAUGACUUCAGCCCUGCCUCUCUGGCCCACAGCCUGUCACCCUGUCAGAGAAGGAAAUCAGAGUCCACCAAAGUUACAGUAAUGCCCCCUAGAUGGCCAAAGAGAGAAGUAGACAAGAGUCCAUUGCCAUGGUGUUCAGCUUAGACUGGUGGGCUGGAGGCUGUUCUCAGGGUCCUACCAGCCCCACAGCUCUGGGGGAGGAGUUGGUGCAGCCACUCACAGGGGUGGGAGAGACAGCCAGAUGGGGCUGGCUCAUGCAGGCAGGGGUGGGUAAGCCUUUCUCUCCAGGAUGUCAGGGUUAUUAGGAGGGUGCCCAAGUCACUACCACAAGGUAGCCUAGAGUCUGCAUCCCCCAGGAUGUCCCCAGUCAUCCUCACCUCCUGGUAUUCAUGCCAUGGUCCAGUCCUCACCCACACUGAAUAGAGCUGACCUGUGUGACCAAUAGGAUAUUACAGAAAUGAUGGUAAAUGACUUCUGAGGCCAGGUCGUAAAAGACAUUACAGUUUCCAGCUGGCAGUUUCUUUUGGAUUAUUCUCUCUGGGGGAAGCCAACCACCAUGUCAGCAGGAUGCUCAAGCAGCCCAUGGAGACACCCAUAAAGUAGGGGACUGAAGCCUCCUACCGACAGCUAGCACAAAUUAUUUUUUGGAGACAGGAUCUCAAUUUGUCUCCCAGACAGAGUGCAGUGGUGCAGUCAUGGCUCACUGCAUCCUCAACCUCCCAGGCUCGAGAGAUCCUACCUCUUCAGCAUCCUAAGUAGCUGGGACCACAGGCAUGUGCCACCAUGCCCAGCUGAUUUUUUAAAACUUUUUUAUUUAUAGAGACAGGGUCUCCCUGUGUUGCCUAGGCUGGAUCACCAAUUUUUCACUUGUGUGUGAGAGCCACCUUGCAAGUGGGUCCUCCAGCCCUAGUCGAACCUUCAGAUGACUGCAACCCUGGCCCACAACUUGACUGUGUUAACCUAAAUAACAAAUAUAGAGAGGCUGUCUAAAAGAAAAGAUGUUUAUUUGGGACUAGAGCAUUGCAAUGGGAAUAUGUGUGCCAUAGUAAAUUAUGUGCAUAUUCAUGGAGGUAAAGG